rnacentral:rRNA from 1 species
UCUAAGGUUUCCAGAGUAAAGCUGAUCUGCCCUGGGUAAGUCGGGGCCUAAGGAGAGGUCGCAAGACGUAUCCGAUGGACAACAGGUUUAGAUUCCUGUACCGCAUAUAAACAGAACUGUGGGGACGCAUGUGGAAAGCAUAAGCCGGGAAUGGAAAGACCGGUACAAGCGAGGUAGGUGUGUGACAGGCAAAUCCGUCACAUAAGCCGAAGACGCGAUGUGGAGCGAAAUUAAGUAGUGAAGUAUGUGAGCCAUGUGCCGAGAAAAGCCGCUAUUGUUUUAUAUGUGCCCGUACCGUAAACCGACACAGGUGGAUGAGGAGAGAAUCCUAAGGCCGACGGAAGAAGCACUGUUAAGGAAUUCGGCAAAAUGACCCCGUAACUUCGGGAGAAGGGGUGCCCACUGAAUGGUGGGCCGCAGAGAAUAGGCUCAAGCAACUGUUUAGCAAAAACACAGGUCUAUGCGAAACCGAAAGGUGAAGUAUAUGGGCUGACGCCUGCCCGGUGCUGGAAGGUUAAGAGGAGAGGUUAGCGCAAGCGAAGCUUUGAAUUUAAGCCCCAGUAAACGGCGGCCGUAACAAUAACGGUCCUAAGGUAGCGAAAUUCCUUGUCGGGUAAGUUCCGACCCGCACGAAAGGCGUAAUGAUUUGAGCACUGUCUCGACAAUGCAUCCGGUGAAAUUGAAGUACCAGUGAAGAUGCUGGUUACCCGCGCCAGGACGGAAAGACCCCAUGGAGCUUUACUCCAGUUUGAUACUGGGAUUCGGUACUGCACGUACAGGAUAGGUGGGAGACUGAGAACUAUGGACGCCAGUCUGUAGGGAGUCGCUGUUGGGAUACCACCCCUGUAGUACUGGGUUUCUAACCAUCUGCCGUGAUCCGGCAGUGGGACAAUGUCAGGCGGGGAGUUUGACUGGGGCGGUCGCCUCCGAAAGGGUAUCGGAGGCGCUCAAAGGUUCCCUCAGAAUGGUCGGAAACCAUUUGAAGAGUGCAAAGGCAGAAGGGAGCUUGACUGCGACACCGACGGGUGGAGCAGGUACGAAAGUAGGACUUAGUGAUCCGGUGGUAUAAAGUGGGAUUGCCAUCGCUCAACGGAUAAAAGCUACCCUGGGAUAACAGGCUUAUCACUCCCAAGAGUUCACAUCGACGGAGUGGUUUGGCACCUCGAUGUCGGCUCAUCGCAUCCUGGGGCUGUAGCAGGUCCCAAGGGUUGGGCUGUUCGCCCAUUAAAGCGGUACGCGAGCUGGGUUCAGAACGUCGUGAGACAGUUCGGUCCCUAUCCGGCGCGGGCGGAGGAUAUUUGAGAGGAGCUGUCCUUAGUACGAGAGGACCGGGAUGACGGACCACUGGUGUAUCUGUUGUCGACCAACGGCAUGGCAGAGUAGCCAAGUCUGGAAGGGACAAACGCUGAAGGCAUCUAAGCGUGAAGCCCCCCUCAAGAUGAGAUAUCCCUCCUUCGGGAGUAAGACCCCUUGAAGACUACAAGGUAGAUAGGGCAGAGGUGGAAGUGUGGCAACACAUGGAGCUGACUGUUACUAAUAGGUCGAGGGCUUGAU